GACGAACGCUGGCGGCGUGCCUAAUACAUGCAAGUCGAGCGAGUCUGCCUUGAAGAUCGGAGUGCUUGCACUCUGUGAAACAAGGUACAGGCUAGCGGCGGACGGGUGAGUAACACGUGGGUAACCUGCCCAAGAGAUCGGGAUAACACCUGGAAACAGAUGCUAAUACCGGAUAACAACAGAUGAUGCCUAUCAACUGUUUAAAAGAUGGUUCUGCUAUCACUCUUGGAUGGACCUGCGGUGCAUUAGCUAGUUGGUAGGGUAACGGCCUACCAAGGCGAUGAUGCAUAGCCGAGUUGAGAGACUGAUCGGCCACAUUGGGACUGAGACACGGCCCAAACUCCUACGGGAGGCAGCAGUAGGGAAUCUUCCACAAUGGACGAAAGUCUGAUGGAGCAACGCCGCGUGAGUGAAGAAGGGUUUCGGCUCGUAAAGCUCUGUUGUUGGUGAAGAAGGACAGGGGUAGUAACUGACCUUUGUUUGACGGUAAUCAAUCAGAAAGUCACGGCUAACUACGUG
rnacentral:rRNA from 1 species